AUGUUCACUCUGAUAAUUAAAAGAAUUAUUAAAGUUCAAUUUCGUGCCAAAGCUGCCUGGAAGGAAAGCUACUUUCAUCAAUGUGAGACUGAAAAAUCUGGUGCAUGCAGUGAUUUACUUACAAGAAUAAUUGCACUGCACCAUUGUGAUAUGUUUUGUCACCAUUAUUCCUCCCCCAAAACUGGAUUUGAAAUGUAUAUUCUCAUACAUUGUUAUUGUACAAUACUUUUUUUUGAAGCUAUGACAUACUGUGGUAUACCUGGAGUAAUGUUCGACAUUCAUGCAUUAACUCUGGUACAGCCUGUUCACCUCUCUCACCACUCUCAGAAUGAUCCUCCAGCUCAGCUCCAUCCUGUCGCUGUGACACAGACGGAACGGAGGAGCCGAUUGGUUCCGGGAGCUCGGCGCCGGAUGUCUGCCAAGGUCUCGCGGCCUCAGUCCACAGGCUUUCUGGUCCUUCCUCUCUGGGCAUCAGGUUUGGACCGAUUUCAGCCUUGCUCGGCCCAGAUCUUCCAUCAAUGCUGUCCCCGUUUUCUGUCUGCGUCGCUGGAGCUAUUCCCUCAGGUCGCCCAUGUGGGCCAGCCCCUCCUCCCGCACCUUCAUUCAAUAUCAGUUGCUGUCCUGCGUGGGAGUGAAGUUUGA
rnacentral:lncRNA from 1 species